AUAUCUUUUUGGUCUUUUGGCUAAGACAAAGUGCAAUAUAUACAAUUUAAUAUCUGGUACGUGGGCCAUAUGUCCACUUUAUUUUUUAAAUUUAUUUUUUGUAGGAAGUGUCCACUUUAAUUUUAAAUUUAUUUUUAGUGGGGAGAAUCCAUCACACUAGCUUGACACUAGGCCCUCACGUGUC
rnacentral:snRNA from 1 species